CCUCCGCAAAAUCUUCUAGUUCUACUUCUACAGCUUCUUUACACAUGGUCACUUCCACAACAUCUACCAGUCCCACUACUACAGUUACUUUACCGCCAAUCACGUCCACAGCAUUUACAGGUCAUACUUCUACAGGUUAGUGUGAUG